CUGCUCAAUGUUGUUCUAUAAAGUGUUCUAUUCCGCUUCCUGCCCCAGGGUUGCCCGUGCAUUUGUUUUUUAAAUGGGAAAUCCAUCUAUAACAGUAACAUUUCUUUUGAAAUAUGUCUUUUGAAAUAUGUCUUUGUAUAGAAAUAUAGGUCUUUGUUGAACUGAAUUACUAUUUUUUUUUAUAGAUAAAUUCAGAAUGCUGCUACGAGUUCAGUUUGGGGGAGAGCACAAAUACAUUAAGCUGUCUGAGCUGACAUUUGAUACUUUUUUGAAAGAAGGUUAGUAUGUUAGGUUAAAAGAGUAUCACAAGGGUCGUACACCUAAUGCAUCAUAUUUAACCAUUCCUUUUGAGAACUAGAUUGUUCUGACCAGGACAUGCAUGGGAUUUCAAACUUUGGAACCCAUCAUUUCUGAAAUUUCCUUUUUUUUCCCCACAUCAGUGUGCCUGAAAUUCAACAUACCAGAAGGCAGGUAGCUAGAUAUGAAGGUUUAUGACCAGUCUGAUACAGAGGUUGACUCUUUUGACUUUUGAAGAGAUAGUGAAGGAAUCACCUGGAGCCUUUCGAAUCAUGUUGGGCAGUGAAGGACUUGGUAGUCUUUGAGACCAUUCACAGACAGGUUAAUUUAGCGUAAAGGCUGAUGUGAGACUAUAUCCCAUUAAAUAUAACAGCUCCAUGUAACAUGUUUCUAUUUUGUAUAAUUUCCAUAAUGCACAGGUGCCUCGCAAUCAUCACCAUGCUCCGUAACAUCUGACGACACUGUCAUUCUAAACUUCUCGAUGUGUGACGAUGAAGAGGCAUCUCCUGUUGGAGCAAGUCAACCCAAAAGCCAUGUCGCAAAAGCGUUGAUUGGAAAAAUCCUGACAUCAAGGCCUGGUGGUGAACGCAUCAUGCAAGAGUAUGGAAAAACCAAAUCUUUGACAGAUGCCACUAGAAGACAGAUGAUGAACAUAUUUGCUGCUGAGAUGACAGAAACACAUGGGACAUCGCCCCCCAAAAGUGUCAGAGUGAUGUAUGCACAGGGGAUAGUUGCUUUGUUUCCCUAUCUGGAAGACCCAUUUUCACAACAUGGAUAUGAACAUUACUACGAUCCAGAGAGUGGUUCUGGAUACCUUGCAUGGCGAUUGAAGACCAUUCAAAGAAAAAGUUCAGAGGAAAGAUGUGGCUCAGUUAGCAGAUCUCCCAAAGGUAAGUUCAUUAUCUGUUACUAAUGAAAUUGAGUUGGAGAUAGGAGUCUACAAAUUUGUGUUUUGUCUUAAGUUGGUGGGCCAAGCCAUGGUCGACAACCAUUCAUAAGUGACAAAGUGCAAUCUGAUGAGGAUGUGGAAGCAGCAAUUGCAGUUUUGAGACACUCUGCUGAGGAAGACACUAUCCGUGAGAAGAUGAAAACUACCUUCAUUUAUCGCCAAGCAAUGGUCAAUGAUAAAAGUAAAGCAGCAGAUGUCUUCUUGGUCUUUCCACGGUUUCUGGACACACCAGGACUGGUAUGUCUAAAUUCACUGAAUCAUCAAAAUCAUCAAUGCAGUAUCUGUUAUCACUCAUCAUUGCUCUCUAUGUAUGUUGUAUUGCAGAUAGAACAAGAUUUCAGACUCCUGUUUGGUGAGGCCACAGCCAACACAUUUUUGGAGAGGUGGCCAACCACUUUCAGAGCAAGAGUCAUAAAAGAAAGCCAUGGACUGGUGCCUACCACAGAGCUCUUGGAUUUAAUGCGCAAUGCUGAGUCAACCGCUGAAGUUGAGAACGGGUGGGACAGUGACAUGUCUGCGAUUUUGCUGCUGCUACAUCUGCUACCACCAUCUGCGCAAGGUCGAAAAAGGCCAGGAAAGAUAUCUGCAUCUCAAGCUGUAGAUCAGCUCAUCAGAUUUCAAAAGGCUGGAACCAGCGUGCAACAACAUCUGGACAACAUCACCCAAAGCAGUCAGCCUUAUCUUCUUGCGCAGGGAUCCACCAGAAGCAGCAUUCACUCAUACUUCAUUGUGAUCGACAAGCACGCACUUCCAUGCAAGGCAACAGGGUCAGUUGGAGCCUUUGAUGAACUCAUUAAAGCCCAUUACGUCUUUGGUACGUCAUACAGUUUUUCCCUGAGCAGCUUUUUCACUUUUGUGCAAACAAACAUCUAUAAUAUUGACAUGGGCGAAACAAAGGAAACUCCCAGGAUUGCUGAAUUGCGAGCAAGAAUGUUGCAUUGAGUGAAUAACUUUUGAGACCGAACCAUGAGGUGUUUUUUUUUUUUUUUUUGCAAAAGUGACCAUGGAAGUCCAAGCGGCCUUGUUAAGCACUUAAGUUAAGUUUUUACAGUAGCUUUUCAAGAACAUUUCCAUGCAUAUGAAGUGGCAAGGUCAAAGCAAGAUUUUGUUGUUUUUCAUGUCGACAACCUGAUUUAUCCUAGGCCUUUGGAUAUACAAAUGUCUUAUGGAUUUAAUGACAAAGCUCUGUUUGUUGUCCCAUAUUGCUUUCUUUGGUGAGGUGUUUCAUAAACCAUUAUCAUAUCAUUGUCAUUAUAGUUAAGGUAUGUAUGUGUCGCGAAGCGAGAGCAUGGUCACCCCACCUGGACUUGAACCGGGGUCUACAGGUUGCCAAACAUGCACUCUGACCACAAUGCCAAAGAGCCAGGCUCAUUGGUAUGGCAGUCAGAGCACAAACUCAUCUGUAGUGACGAUCACACGGUCACACUGCCCUCACUUUCGGGAAGCGCACCCUUGCGCUUCAUGCACAAAGGCAUUCCUCGCGCAUCCACCAACUGUACUUCUCCCAUCCAGAGCGCCCCAGACACAAGUGCUUCACCAUCUAUGGGGUCUGUCACACAGGGGUCAACCUACCUGGGGGUCCCUCAUACAGUUUUAUCGAGAGGUCAUUGGAGGCGUGCCUGUAAAACUGUAUGACCCCCAAGUAGGUUGAACCCUGUGUGAGGGACCCCAUGGGUGAAGCACUUGUGUGUGUGUGGAGCGCUCUGGAUGGGAGAAGUACGGUUGG
ensembl:lncRNA